rnacentral:rRNA from 1 species
GAUGAACGCUGGCGGCGUGCCUAAUACAUGCCAGUCGAGCGAACAGACGAGGAGCUUGCUCCUCUGACGUUAGCGGCGGACGGGUGAGUAACACGUGGAUAACCUACCUAUAAGACUUGGAUAACUUCGGGAAACCGGAGUUAGUACCGGAUAAUAUAUUGAACCGCAUGGUUCAAUAGUGAAUGACGGUUUUGCUGUCACUUAUAGAUGGAUCCGCGCCGCAUGAGCUAGGUGGUGGGGUAAAGGCUUACCAAGGCAGCGGUGCGUAGCCGACGUGAGAGGGGGAUGCGGCACACGGAGACUGAGCCGCGGCCCAGACUCCUACGGGAGGCAGCAGUAGGGAAGCUUCGGAGAUGGGCGGAAGCUUGACGGAGCGGCGCCGCGUGAGUGAAGAAGGGCUGCGGAUCGUAAGACGCUGUUAUGAGUGAAGAACGAAUGUGUAAGUAACUAUGCACUGUUUGACGGUACCGAAUCAGAAAGCCACGGCUAACUACGUG